GCCCAGAUGGUGAAAUUGGUAUACACGCUAGUUUCAGGUACUAGUGCCGCGAGGUGUGGGGGUUCGAGUCCCCCUCUGGGCA
rnacentral:tRNA from 1 species